AGUAAAAGUCGUAACAAGGUUUCCGUAGGUGAACCUGCGGAAGGAUCAUUACCUAGAGUUGUAGGCUUUGCCUGCUAUCUCUUACCCAUGUCUUUUGAGUACCUUCGUUUCCUCGGCGGGUCCGCCCGCCGAUUGGACACUUUAAACCAUUUGCAGUUGCAAUCAGCGUCUGAAAAAAACUUUAAUAGUUACAACUUUCAACAACGGAUCUCUUGGUUCUGGCAUCGAUGAAGAACGCAGCGAAAUGCGAUAAGUAGUGUGAAUUGCAGAAUUCAGUGAAUCAUCGAAUCUUUGAACGCACAUUGCGCCCCUUGGUACUCCAUGGGGCAUGCCUGUUCGAGCGUCAUUUGUACCUUCAAGCUCUGCUUGGUGUUGGGUGUUUGUCUCGCCUCUGCGCGCAGACUCGCCUCAAAACAAUUGGCAGCCGGCGUAUUGAUUUCGGAGCGCAGUACAUCUCGCGCUUUGCAUUCAUAACGACGACGUCCAAAAGUACAUUUUUAGACUCUUGACCUCGGAUCAGGUAGGGAUACCCGCUGAACUUAAGCAUAUCAAUAAGCGGAGGAAAAGAAACCAACAGGGAUUGCCCCAGUAACG
rnacentral:rRNA from 1 species